GGUAGACGCUUCGGCGUUUGCC
rnacentral:misc_RNA from 1 species